rnacentral:lncRNA from 10 species
AACAGACACUUCCUGUACAGGGGAGGGGGGAGGGGGCCAGGCAGCCGUUAGACAGCACAACCGAACCCAACACCGGGGCCCAACGGCAGGGGCUUGGGCAGGAGCAAGGUCCGAGGGCUGCCAGGUCCACGCUGCUUUUAUGAGCUGUAACACUCACCGCGAAGAUCUGCAGCUUCACUCCUGAGCCCAGCGAGACCACGAGCCCACCGGGAGGAACAAACAACUCCAGACGCGCUGCCUUAAGAGCUGUAACACUUGCCGUGAAGGUCUGCAGCUUCACUCCUGAGCCAGCGAGACCACGAACCCACCAGAAGGAAGAAACUCCGAACACAUCUCAACAUCAGAACGGACAGACUCCAGACGCACCACCUUAAGAGCUGUAACACUCACCGCGAGGUUCCGCGGCUUCAUUCUUGAAGUUCGUGAGCCACACAUCUCCCCACACCAAGCUCCUCCAUACAAGACCUCGGACUGCAUCACGUAAAUGCUUUUUCAGGGGCAAAAUCUAGAGAAUCUGAAACGAGCUAUCAGCUUCCCAGUUUGCACAAUUCAUCAAGAAAUUAUGCGGGGUCACUGGCACAAAUGAUGAGGCAUCUCCUGGAAGCUUAACUUCUUAUCCAUCCCAUCUCUUGGACAGAUGAUGCCAGUUAAUUACUUUGAAUGCUCUGCUGCUAUGGUGAGCUGCACGUCUGGAGGCUUCACAGAGACACUGGGUGAAUCUAAAUGAUGAGUUUGAUGGUGACCUGGAGGUGAAACUGUGACUUCAUGAUGUUCUAGAGGCUGACCUGGGGUCUCCUGCUGGGUCAGAGAAGAUUCGACCUCCCCAGAAGACUCAGAAGGCUGAACUGGCUGCUGCUGCUCACUGAUGGAAAGUUCAUGCUCCAUAGGAGGAACUGGAGGCUCAAUUGGGGCCUCCUGUUGGGUUGCAGAAGGUUCCACCUCCUCUGGAAACUGAAUUGGGGUCUCCUGCUGGGUUUGGGAAGAUUCUGUCUCAUUGGUAGGCUCUGAAGUUAUGGUAACCUCCACAUCUGCAGGUUUAACUGUAAUGUUGGGCAAGUGAUAAUAAGCUUGAUCCUCACCU